rnacentral:lncRNA from 1 species
GUUUAAAAAAAAAAAUGUUAAAAAAUAGCUUUUAAAUUUUUUACUUUUUAUUGAUCUAAAGUAUUUGAAGUUUUUAUCAAUAAAAUUUUAUAUUUUUUCGACAUAUUUUACUUUAUAAUUAAAUUAUUUAAAAAUUAUCAAUUUUUUAUCCCUACUAUGGCGAAUUUAUAGUUUAACAGCGUAGAAGAAUCUAAAUUUAUUCAGAUUCUGAUAUAGAAUACUUUAAAUUAUCUAGAUCAAGGUCAACAUUCUUAAUCUUGAAUUCGAAAGUCCUACCCUCAAAUUUUAAAUAUUGUUCAAUUUUCACCGUUCAAUUUGAUAUGAUUUACUUACUAAAUAAACGAUAUCAAAAAAAUUAUAAAUUUAUUCUUAGGAACUUCAUAUACCCUAAAUCAUAUUUAAUGAUGUGGAUCGUUGAUUUAAAUAUCCUAAGAUCAGAAAUGAAACUAUAGUACCGAAGCUCCGAUUCUAUAGAUAGUACAUGACAAAAUGAUUGCAAUCAAUUUAUUAAUAUACGAGAUUCCAUUUAAAAAAAUAAAUAAAAGAUAAACACGAUUUCAAAGUAGACCUAUAUAUUAUAGGUUAUCUACUACUAUAUACUAAAGUCUGUGGGGCGUGCGGUUUUUCUUUCUGGACACAUGUCCAUUUGUUAUAUUCGAUGCAUUUGGUGUACCGUGGAUUAAAUCAAAAAAAUAUAUUUUUACUUACUAGAUGUAUUUAAAGUUUAUAAAUUUUAAUAUAUAAAUAUUUCGAAUGUUGUAAAACAUAACCAAUAAAUUUAAUCUUAAUUUUUGAAUUGUUUAUAAUUGAUUUUUAGGAGUAUUGAGCAUAAUAUUGUAAACCGGAUUCAAUACAUCAUGAAUUAAUAAUGGAGAUAUUG